ACACGACUACAUUAGAUACCCCCGUAGUCCUAGCCGUAAACGAUACUCGCUAGGUGUCGGCCACGGUGCGACCGUUGUCGGUGCCGUAGGGAAGCCGUGAAGCGAGCCACCUGGGAAGUACGGCCGCAAGGCUGAAACUUAAAGGAAUUGGCGGGGAGCACCACAAGAGGUGGAGGCUGCGGUUCAAUUGGACUCAACGCCGGAAAACUCAUCGGGAGCGACAGCAGUAUGAUUGCCAGGUUGAUGACCUUGCUUGACAAGCUG
rnacentral:rRNA from 1 species